AGGACGAACGCUGGCGGCGUGCUUCACACAUGCAAGUCGAACGGGGCUCAUUCGGUGGUAACACCGGAGAAGGCCUAGUGGCGAACGGGUGCGUAACACGUGAAGAACCUGCCCCGAAGACUGGGAUAACAGCGGGAAACCGCUGCUAAUACCGGAUGACCCCACCAGGCCGCAUGGCCAGGUGAGGAAAUGGGCCUACCGCUUCGGGAGGGCUUCGCGGCCUAUCAGCUUGUUGGUGGGGUAACGGCCUACCAAGGCUACGACGGGUAGCUGGUCUGAGAGGACGACCAGCCACACUGGGACUGAGACACGGCCCAGACUCCUACGGGAGGCAGCAGUGGGGAAUCUUGCGCAAUGGGCGAAAGCCUGACGCAGCAACGCCGCGUGAGGGAUGAAGGUCUUCGGGUUGUAAACCUCUUUCGAGCAGGGACGAUUGUGACGGUACCUGCAGAAGAAGCUCCGGCCAACUACGUGCCAGCAGCCGCGGU
rnacentral:rRNA from 1 species